rnacentral:rRNA from 1 species
UACGAAGGAUGCGAGCGUUAUCCGGAUUUAUUGGGUUUAAAGGGUGCGUAGGCGGCCUUAUAAGUCAGUGGUGAAAUCCUAUCGCUUAACGAUAGACGUGCCAUUGAUACUGUAGGGCUUGAGUACAGAUGCCGUUGGCGGAACGUGUCAUGUAGCGGUGAAAUGCAUAGAUAUGACACAGAACACCGAUUGCGAAGGCAGCUGACGAAACUGUAACUGACGCUGAUGCACGAAAGCGUGGGGAUCAAACAGG